UUCGAGUACGGGUCCUCUGCUUUCAGUAGUACGGGCCCAUACUACCUUCCACAUCUACCCGUGCUUUCCUCAAGGAUUGCUUCGACUUCACCAGGUCCCUUUACCGAUACCCCUUUCCACUAACCUCAUCCUAGGCUUCCCUAGGGCACUCUCCGACCUACUCUCCGCCAUCAGCUGCACAGGAGCCCCUACCAUUUCCCCCUAACUAACUUGCAGGUACUGUUACAUAUCCGCCCCUUAGUUAGUUGGAAAUAGUCAAAACCCCCAUAGCACAAAGCAAGCAACAUUCAUGCAUCGAGUAUCCAAAUCAGGCAUAACCUAUACAGGUCAUCCUACUACUGACUAAACAGCCCUAGCAUACAGCUCAUACAAUAGGCAUAUAAGGCAUCCUCCUAGAUCCUUAGCCCUAACUAGCAUGCGAUUAUCAGAAUCAUAUAUCAGGCACACAAGGCAUCUUCCUAGAUCCUUAGUCCUAUUCUAGCAUGCAAUUCUGAAUCAAGCCAUAUAGCAUAACAUAACAUGUAUGGGUAUCUUGGGGAAAACUUACUUGAGCCCGGCCGGUCGCAUGCAUCACACACCUUGUCUUUCGUAAAAUCCUUUCGCUUAGAUUUUUAGAAAACCAUUUUAUUGAAAAAAAAUAUUUUAGCCCCUUAGUUCGAGUCCAGACACCCCCGAGGGCGUGUCUGAAUCCCUCAAACAAGGGCUCUGAUACCAACUUGUAACAUCCCAAAAUUCAAGCCCAAAAAUUUCAUUUUUGAUUAAUUAAUUCAUAAAACAUUCAUUAGAAAAUAUUGUAUAAACACGUCAUCUCAAAACCAAGUAUCAUAUUUGAAACCCACAACCAUGAACAAAUGUCAUAUCAGAGUACAAUCCCAGAAAACACCGUGCGGAAAAUCAUAUGUGUGUGUGAUGCCAUGCUACGCCGCCGGCUCCUUCCCCUUAGAUGAAGAGGUACCUGAAACCAAAAACUGAAACCGUAAGCACAAAGCUUAGUGAGUUCCCCCAUCAUACCACAUACCAUACAAUACCAUCGGUAUCUUUCAACCGGUAAUCAUCAUCGGUAUCUUUCAACCGGUAAUCAUCAUCGGUAUCUUUCAACCGGUAAUCGUCAUCGGUAUCUUUCAACCGGUAACUGGGGACUAUUCCACCCCCUACCACUAGCAUACAAUAGCAAGAUAUAAGCACACAUUCAGACAUAUCCGGGUACUGACCUACCCCUUGGUCCUAAGGACCACUAUCAGGGAAACUAUCCCUAUCAUGUAACAUAUCAUACAGAUAUAACUCAUAACCAAACGCAUACCAGACCAAGAUAAAUUAUCACAAAGACAAUUAUCUUCUAAAUACUCCUCAAUGGUGGGCCGGCAUUGUGGCCUUAGACCCACCCCUACUGGAAGGUAACUCACCUCGUAUCUGCUGAACUGUGCGGGAAUCCUCUGACUGCUGCCACUGCUGCUCCGGAAAUCCUCCGGCUAAAAUUCCCACAAAACACUUAGUCAGAAACUGACAUCUACCCUUAGGGUAAAAUGACCAUUUUACCCCUUGACCAAGUCAAAGUCAAAGUCAAAGUCAACUUCCAGUUGACCUGACUCGCCGAGUUGACUCGUCAACUCGCCGAGUCCCUAUCCUUCCAUCAGACCUCAUACCCGUCUCUACUCGUCGAGUUAGGCGAUGACUCGACGAGUUUUCCUUCUAAAUGAACACCGACUGAAUCCACAUCCGACUCGCCGAGUUGUAUGAACAACUCGUCGAGUUCAUCAUCAACUGAUACUCAUGUCCUGACUUGACUCGCCGAGUUGUAUGAACAACUCGUCGAGUUACUCUUCAUCCUAUGAACACGUUCUGUCCUCGACUCGCCGAGUUGAUGAACAACUCGCCGAGUACCAUGAAGAUUGUCUUGGACUCGCCGAGUCCGUUCAUGCACUCGCCGAGUACCAUGAAUUCCCAGAACACUUUGCUUAGUCCAGAACGUUGGGUCACUCCCCGGGACUCCUAAAACCCUUCCACACUCAACUGGUCCUUAUGACCCUCACUGAUAUGGGACCAAAACCCUUGGACUCGCCGAGUCCAGGAAAUGGACUCGCCGAGUCUAUCACAUUCCUUACUAAGAACUUCGAUUUCUGAUGUACAACACUUAACCAAAUGAUAGAUCCAGGCCCCUAAACUCGAUCUAGCACGUAAAGUUACAAACUUUACGUGCAUGCAUGGGACAUUAGAGCUUAAAAGGCUCUAAAAUGGUUCUUUUGUUGCAUGGGGCCUUCCUUGGUGCAAAAAGCAACCUAGAUCUGACUUGUGGCUCAUAAAAUGACAUGAUACAGAAGCCCAAACCCCCAACCAUGUUUGCAAACAUGGUUGGCCACCAAAAAUGGCUUAUAAAAGCCCUAAAUCACCUCAAAGAGGGAUCUAACAAAUGAAUGAGCAAGGUUCAGACUUUAUACCUUCCAAAGACUGCAAAUGAUGAACCAAACUCGAAUCCUUCAGUCCCCUCUUGAUCCUUCUAUGCUCUUCCUUCUUCCUUGAGAUCAAAACUCACAAGAAUCACUCAAAAAGCCUUAGAUCUUCACAAAAACGGCUAGGGUUUGCUAUGAGGAGUGUUUGGGAGCAUAAAGGGGGAAAGGAGGCUGCAUAAGGUCGUUUAAAUAGGGUGCAAACCCCUGGAUUAGGGUUGUUGUCCAAACAGCGACUACUCGCCGAGUCCGCAGCUUAAACCCCGCGCCUCAUCCCGCUUCUACUCGGCGAGUCAGUCCUUCGACUCGCCGAGUCCAAGGCCAAAAAUGCAAAAAUAAAUGAAGAUUUAAUAACAGAAUACAUACCAAGAACCAGGUGCUACAAAUCUCCCCCACUUAUUUUAGACUUCGUCCUCGAAGUCUGCCGCUCGAUCCUGAAACAGCUCGGGGUAGUGCUCCAUCAUCUCACUCACCGGCUCCCAAGUCCACUCCGACCCCUUCCGGUGCUGCCAUUGCACCUUCACGAGUUCUACUCUUUUGUUCCUCAGAUCCUUCGACUUCCGGUCAAGGAUCGCUACAGGCCGCUCGAUGUAAUUCAGGCUGCCAUCAACCUGAAUGUCCUCCAAGGGUACCACCGCCGUAUCGUCCACUAGGCACUUCCGCAGCUGAGAGACGUGGAAAGUGUUGUGGAUCUGACUGAGUUCGGCUGGCAGAUCCAGCCGGUACGCCACCUUGCCCACCCGGGCUACAACCCUGAACGGUCCGAUAUACCUUGGGCCCAACUUGCCCCGCUUCCUGAAUCGGAUGACGCCCUUCCAUGGCGACACCUUCAGGAGAACCAUAUCCCCGACCUGGAAUUCCAGGUCUGAUCGACGCUUAUCGGCAUAACUUUUCUGCCGACUCUGAGCAGUCUGAAGCCUGCUCCGGACCUGCUGAAUCUUCUCUGUCGUCUUGAGCACUACUUCGGUGCUCCCCAUGACUCUCUGGCCAACCUCGCCCCAACAUAUCGGGGUCCUGCACCUCCUCCCAUACAACAUCUCGAAGGGAGGACGGUCGAUACUCGCAUGAUAGCUGUUAUUAUACGAGAACUCCGCCAACGGGAGGUAGGUAUCCCAACUACCUCCGAAAUCUAAAACGCAUGCCCGCAGCAUAUCCUCCAGAGUCUGGAUGGUCCGCUCGCUCUGGCCAUCCGUCUGCGGGUGAAAAGCGGUGCUAAAAUGCAGACGAGUACCCAGCUCGUCAUGAAACCUCUUCCAAAACCUGGAAGUAAACCGCACGUCUCUGUCUGAAAUCACCGAAACUGGCACUCCGUGCCGCGCCACCACCUCCCUGAUAUAGAUAUCGGCCAAUUUCUCGGCCGAGAUGCUCUCCUGAAUCGGAAUAAAGUGGGCGCUCUUGGUCAAUCGAUCCACGAUGACCCAUAUCGAAUCCAUCCCCCGCGCGGUCCUGGGAAGCUUCGUGAUAAAAUCCAUCGUAAUAUCCUCCCAUUUCCACAGCGGGAUAUCCAACGGCUGCAUCUUGCCGUGUGGUCUCUGAUGCUCGGCCUUGACCUUCCUGCAGGUCAAGCACCGCUCCACGUACCAUGCCACAUCCCGCUUCAUGCAGGGCCACCAAUAGUCCAGACGAAGAUCCCUAUACAUCUUCGUCGCCCCGGGAUGAAUGGAGAAUCGGGAUUUGUGCGCCUCCUCCAUCAGGACCUGGCGCACUCCUCCAUGAUAAGGGACCCACACCCUACGGUGAAGAGUCAAUAACCCUCGGCUAUCAUAGUCGAAAGAGGAAACCUGCCCCACAAUCCGCUCACUCUUCCGAUGUUCCUCCUUCAUGGCCUCCUGCUGAGCCUCCCGGAUCCGCUCCAGAAGCGGAGUCAUCACUGUCAUCCUUAGACAGAUAUCCCUGAUCGGCGCUGCCUUGCGGCUAAGCGCAUCGGCCACGACAUUGGCCUUCCCCGGAUGGUAGAGGAUCUCACAAUCAUAAUCCUUCACCACAUCAAGCCACCGACGCUGCCUCAUAUUCAGAUUUGGCUGGUCCAUGAGAUACCUCAAACUCUUGUGGUCCGUGUAAAUCGUACAACGAACCCCAUAGAGGUAAUGACGCCAAAUCUUGAGGGCGAACACAACAGCCCCCAACUCCAAAUCAUGCGUCGGGUAGUUCGCCUCGUGAGGCUUCAGCUGCCUCGACGCGUAGGCGAUGACAUGCCCUCUCUGCAUCAAUACCGCUCCCAAACCUGCGAUGGAUGCAUCGCAGUACACAACAAAAUCCUCCAUGCCCUCUGGCAGGGCUAAGAUUGGCGCCUCGCACAAUCUCUGUCUCAGCGUCUCAAAUGCGGCCUGCUGCUCAGGCCCCCAGCGAUACACCACCGACUUCUUAGUCAGUCGGGUGAGCGGAACUGCUAUCUUGGAGAAGUCCUGAAUGAAUCUCUGAUAGUAGCCUGCCAAACCUAGAAAGCUCCGAAUCUCAGAUGGAGACCUCGGAACCUCCCAAUUCAUCACGGCCUCUACCUUGGCCGGAUCUACCGAAAUCCCGUUCUGGUUGACAAGGUGCCCAAGAAACUGCACCUCGCGCAACCAGAACUCACACUUGGAGAACUUAGCAUACAAGUUCUCCCUCCUCAAAGUCUCCAGAACCUCCCGCAGAUGCUCCUCAUGCUGCUCCCGCGUCUUGGAAUAAACCAAGAUGUCAUCAAUAAAUACUAUCACAGACCGAUCUAACAUCGGUCUACACACGCGGUUCAUGAGAUCCAUGAACGCGGCAGGAGCAUUGGUGAGCCCGAAAGGCAUCACCACAAACUCAUAGUGGCCAUAACGCGUCCGAAACGCAGUCUUCUGCACAUCCUCCUCUCUGACCCUCAUCUGAUGAUACCCUGAACGCAAAUCAAUCUUGGAGAACCAAGAUGCUCCCUGAAGCUGGUCAAAGAGGUCAUCAAUCCUCGGGAGUGGGUAGCGGUUCUUCACCGUUACCUUGUUCAGCUCCCGAUAAUCUAUACACAUCCGAUGCGACCCGUCCUUCUUCCUCACAAACAGAAUCGGGGCUCCCCAGGGUGAACUGCUCGGUCUAAUGAAACCCUUGUCUAACAGCUCCUGCAGCUGUGUAGACAACUCCUGCAUCUCAGGAGGAGCCAACCGAUACGGUGCCUUGGCUAUCGGAGCCGCACCAGGAACUAGGUCGAUCCUGAAUUCCACCUGUCGUUCCGGAGGUAUCCCAGGCAACUCCUCGGGGAAUACGUCCGCAAACUCCCGUACCACAGGUACAUCGUCCACCGUCGCCCUACCCGUUUCCCGGGUAUCCAUAACAUACGCGACAUAACCUGCGCAACCCCGCUGGAGGUAGCGCCUAGCUCUCGCUGCUGAACAUAAAGUUGGUCCUCGUUGUGGCCUCUCGCCCUGAAUCACCAGCUCUCCCCCACUUGGGGUCCUGACCCGCACCAACUGCUGCGCGCAGUCGAUCACUGCCCCAUUAGGGCUGAGCCAAUCCAUGCCUAUAAUCACCUUGUUCCCACGCAAUGGAAUGGGAACCAAGUCUACCAAGUAGCGCUCCUCAAAUAACCUCAGCACACAAUCUCGAAAUACCGUCGAUGCCCGCACCGAACGGUCGUCUGCAAUCUCUACCUCUAGAGGGCAAUCCAACAUGCCCGAAGACUCGGAAAAUCUCUUGCUAAGCGCAAGAGACACAAAUGAUCGGGUAGCGCCCGAGUCAAACAACACCAGAACUGGGAUGCCGUUCACAUGGAACGAUCCUAAACAGAGUACAUAUCGAUAACACAAUCACAAAAAAAAGAAGAUCAGAGGGAAAGAAUCAUACCCGUCACCACAUCGGGUGCAGCGCGUGCCUCCUCGGCUGUCAGCUGAAAUGCUCGGCUCCGCACCACUGGAACCUCUGCCUUGACCUUCCGGCCAUCUGUAACCCGCGCCGUCGCUGAGACCGGCGCUGCCGCUGGCACUGCUGCUGACGCUGCUGUCAAUCUCGGGCAAUUGGCCCUUUUGUGGCCCCUCUGAUUGCAAUGGAAGCAAAUCAGGUCUGUCAUCUGUACCGCAGGGGCGGGGGCAGUACAAUCCCUGCCAAAAUGCCCCACCUUGCCACACUUAUAGCAGCCCGAACCCGGCCCAGUGCGACAAGCUCCCUCGUGUGACCGACCGCAUUUCCCACAGCGGUCCCGUCCUGCCUGGCCUUUCGGCCUACCAUCAGAUCCCUUGGGCUUCUUCCCCGAAGCCCCAGUCGUCAGCCCCUCCACUGCCUUCCUCUUCUGGACGUGCUCCAGAUCAAUCUCCCUCUCCCUAGCCCUGGCAAUCAUGGAAUCCAAGGUAGGGCAAGCUGAAAAACUAACAUGCUCCCGAAUGUCAGCUCGUAGCAUGUCAUGGUAGCGGGUCCUCCUCAUAUCCUCAUCACCCGCAUACUGGGGCACCAGCAAUGCCCUCUCCCGGAACUUGGCGGUGAUCUCCGCCACAGUCUCCGUAGUCUGCCUCAUAUCCAAAAACUCCCUGGCCAGCCGCUGAAGCUCCAUAGCUGGCGCAAACUCCGCCCUGAAUCUGGUCACAAAGUCCGACCAAGUCAUAGCCUCAACAGCCGAGGCUCCCAAUGAGUCACCAACAGACUCCCACCAAUCCCUAGCCCUGUCUCGCAAGCAUCCUGCUGCAUAUCUCACCUUCGACCCCUCUGGGCAGAAGCUCGUCAGCUGCGCAGACUCAAUGUCUGCGAUCCAUCUCCUAGCAGCAAUGGGGUCUUUCACCCCAUGGAAAUCCGGCGCACCACUUCCCCGAAAGUCCUUAAAGGACAGUGUGCGCGCACCCACCUGGCUAGACGCCAUAUCACUCCUGAAUGAUCGGAGACGAUCCUCCAUCAGCUCAACAAUCCCCUCCUUGAUCGACCCGAAGAUGAUAGGGGUCGACUCAAGGAUGCCUCUCGUGAUUUCAGACGUGAUGAACUCGUGUAGCCCGUCAUCAACCUACUCGGAUCCCGAACCCGAGCCUGAUCCUGAUCCGGAUCCGGAACCUCCUGCUCCAAGUCGUGUGGUCACCAUACUGAAAACACACGCAUAAAAGUCAGGAUCAUACAUAUACUCGAGAGAUCUAACACACUCUCCAAGGUUCCCGAUUUCAUCUAGGCCCUCCUUGAUUCGAGUACGGGUCCUCUGCUUUCAGUAGUACGGGCCCAUACUACCUUCCACAUCUACCCGUGCUUUCCUCAAGGAUUGCUUCGACUUCACCAGGUCCCUUUACCGAUACCCCUUUCCACUAACCUCAUCCUAGGCUUCCCUAGGGCACUCUCCGACCUACUCUCCGCCAUCAGCUGCACAGGAGCCCCUACCAUUUCCCCCUAACUAACUUGCAGGUACUGUUAC
rnacentral:lncRNA from 1 species